rnacentral:rRNA from 1 species
UACGGGGGGUGCGAGCGUUGUCCGGAAUCACUGGGCGUAAAGGGCGCGUAGGUGGCUUGGCAAGUGCGUGGUGAAAGCCCGGGGCUCAACCCGGGUCUGCCGUGCGAACUGCUAUGGCUUGAGCACUGUAGAGGCAGGUAGAAUUCCGGGUGUAGCGGUGGAAUGCGGUAGAGAUCCGGAAGAAUGCCGGUGGCGAAGGCGGCCUGCUGGGCAGUGCUGACACUGAGGCGCGGACAGCGUGGGAGCAAACAGG